AUUGUCUGCCAUUGCAGAUGUGACUGCUGUGUCACAUGUUCGUUAGUAGGUGGCAGAGGGGGGAGAGACUGACUGUGCCUCACUCAGUGUUCUGACCUGUGACCAUCUGAAUGGUUAGUGACCUAACGUU